AACGAACGCUGGCGGCGUGCCUAACACAUGCAAGUCGAACGGAGCCUGAAGGAGUAGCAAUACUUUUUCAGGUUUAGUGGCGGACGGGUGAGUAACACGUAGGUAACCUACCCUUAGGCGGGGGACAACUCAGGGAAACUUGAGCUAAUACCGCAUAAAUCCACGGGCUGGGAUGCUUGUGGGGAAAGUGGCAACACACCUAAGGAUGGGCCUGCGGCCUAUCAGGUAGUUGGUGGGGUAAGAGCCCACCAAGGCCGAAGACGGGUAGCCGGGCUGAGAGGUUGAACGGCCACACUGGAACUGAGACACGGUCCAGACUCCUACGGGAGGCUG
rnacentral:rRNA from 1 species